rnacentral:rRNA from 1 species
GAUAAACGCUGGCGGCGCACAUAAGACAUGCAAGUCGAACGGACUUAACCAUUAGUUUACUAUUGGAGCGGUUAGUGGCGGACUGGUGAGUAACACGUAAGCAAUCUGCCUAUCAGAGGGGAACAACAGUUAGAAAUGACUGCUAAUACCGCAUAUGCCUAAGUACCACAUGGUACAAUAGGGAAAGGAGCAAUCCGCUGAUAGAUGAGCUUGCGUCUGAUUAGAUAGUUGGUGGGGUAACGGCCUACCAAGUCGACGAUCAGUAGCCGGACUGAGAGGUUGAACGGCCACAUUGGGACUGAGAUACGGCCCAGACUCCUACGGGAGGCAGCAGUCGGGAAUAUUGCGCAAUGGAGGAAACUCUGACGCAGUGACGCCGCGUGCAGGAAGAAGGCCUUCGGAUUGUAACCUUAGUCAACAGGAAGAAGAAAGUAGACGGUACCUCGUGGAGGAAGCCACGGCUAACUACGUGCCAGCAGCCGCGGUAAACG